CUACUUGUAAUUUACAGAGUUGCAUACCUCAGAGCUUCAAAGACAGGAUGGGCCUAUUACAUACAAAGUCAGGGACCUCGAUGGAUUUGGACCCAAGGCACUGAAGGAGUCCUUUGUAUGGUCCAGCUAUUGUGAAAAGAACAGUAACAAACAUGAUUGUACAAGUAUCUCUGGAGUAGGAUGAGUCCUUUGGAUAUAUGCCAAGGAGUGGAAUGGAUGACUGCAUGUGAUGCUCAGCAGUGCCUCACUGUGACGUAACCAGGAUCUGGACAACAAACUGCCAUUGUGACUUUAGAACACACACCUUUCUGCUGUGGAUUCCAGGCUCUGUUUCAUCAUGCAAUUUCUUU